rnacentral:rRNA from 1 species
ACUCAAAUGAAUUGACGGGGGCCCGCACAAGCGGUGGAGCAUGUGGUUUAAUUCGACGCAACGCGCAGAACCUUACCCGGGCUAGAAAAACUAGGAAUCCUUAAGAGAUUAGGGAGUGCCCGCAAGGGAACCUAGGUCCAGGUGCUGCAUGGCUGUCGUCAGCUCGUGUCGUGAGAUGUUGGGUUAAGUCCCGCAACGAGCGCAACCCUUGUCCUUAGUUGCCAUCAGUUCGGCUGGGCACUCUAAGGAGACUGCCGGCGUCAAGCCGGAGGAAGGUGGGGAUGACGUCAAGUCCUCAUGGCCCUCAUGUCCGGGGCUACACACGUGCUACAAUGGUCGGUACAAAGCGCUGCGAACUCGCGAGAGGGUGCCAAUCGCAAAAAACCGACCUCAGUACAGAUUGCAGUCUGCAACUCGACUGCAUGAAGGCGGAAUCGCUAGUAAUCGUCGAUCAGCAGGCGACGGUGAAUACGUUCCCGGGCCUUGUACACACCGCCCGU